GGCGGCUCGAGUGGUGGCCACGUUUAUUGGGCUUAAAGCGUUCGUAGCUGGGUCGUUAAGUCUCUUGGGAAAUCCGGCAGCUUAACUGUCGGGCGUCUAAGGAGAUACUGGCGAUCUUGGAACCGGGAGAGGUGAGGGGUACUUCGGGGGUAGGAGUGAAAUCCUGUAAUCCUCGAGGGACCACCUGUGGCGAAGGCGCCUCACCAGAACGGCUUCGACAGUGAGGGACGAAAGCUGGGGGAGCAAACCGGAUUAGAUACCCGGGUAGUCCCAGCCGUAAACGAUGUGCGUUAGGUGUAUCGACGACCACGAGUCGUCGAGGUGCCGAAGGGAAACCGUGAAACGUACCGCCUGGGAAGUACGGUCGCAAGGCUGAACUUAAAGGAAUUGGCGGGGGAGCACCACAACAGGUGGAGCCUGCGGUUUAAUUGGACUCAACGCCGGGAAGCUCACCGGAUAAGACAGCUGAAUGAUUGCCGGGCUGAAGACUCUGCAUGACUAGCUGAGGGGAGGUGCAUGG
rnacentral:rRNA from 1 species